rnacentral:rRNA from 1 species
CAAUAGUGUAUAUUAAAGUUGUUGCAGUUAGAACGCUCGUAGUCGGAUUUCGGGGCGUUCCGACCGGUCUGCCGAUGGGUAUGCACUGGCCGGAGUGUCCUUUUUGCCGGAGACCGUGCCUACUCUUAACUGAGCGGGGGCGGGAGACGGCACUUUUACUUUGAAAAAAUCAGAGUGUUUCAAGCAGGCAGCUCGCUCUUGCAUGGAUUAGCAUGGGAUAAUGAAAUAGGACUUUGGUGCUAUUUUGUUGGUUUCGAACACCGAAGUAAUGAUGAGAAGGGACAGUCAGGGGCACUCGUAUUCCGCAGAGAGAGGUGAAAUUCUCAGACCCGCGGAAGACGAACCACUGCGAAAGCAUUUGCCAGGGAUGUUUUCACUG